UUGAACGCUGGCGGCAUGCCUUACACAUGCAAGUCGAACGGUAGAGGGGCAACCCUUGAGAGUGGCGAACGGGUGAGUAAUAUAUCGGAACGUGCCCAGUCGUGGGGGAUAACGCAGCGAAAGCUGCGCUAAUACCGCAUACGAUCUAAGGAUGAAAGCGGGGGAUCGCAAGACCUCGCGCGAUUGGAGCGGCCGAUAUCAGAUUAGGUAGUUGGUGGGGUAAAAGCCUACCAAGCCGA
rnacentral:rRNA from 1 species